CGGGGCCUACGGGAGGCAGCAGUGGGGAAUAUUGCACAAUGGGGGAAACCCUGAUGCAGCGACGCCGCGUGAGUGAAGAAGUAUUUCGGUAUGUAAAGCUCUAUCAGCAGGGAAGAUAAUGACGGUACCUGAGUAAGAAGCCCCGGCUAACUACGUGCCAGCAGCCGCGGUAAUACGUAGGUGGCAAGCGUUGUCCGGAAUUACUGGGUGUAAAGGGAGCGUAGGCGGGAAGCCAAGUCAGCUGUGAAAACUACGGGCUUAACCUGUAGACCGCAGUUGAAACUGGCUUUCUUGAGUGAAGUAGG
rnacentral:rRNA from 1 species